AGCUCAUAUUCACUACUUUCAAGCAUAUAUACACACACUCAAACACACAAAAAGAAAUUUUGCUUGAUGGAGAACGGUAAAGGAAGGCGUGAAUCUGCAGAAGGAGAUUCCAGUAGUGGAAAAUGGGCCGGUUCCUCUAAGAAAAGUGGAAGCGUGAUUCCGAAAGAUAGGGAGCCUGUAUCCCACAUGGUGGGAAAGACAAUUGCGAAAGUUGUUAUUUCCGGUGCUCAAAAGAUCAAAAACAAGAAUAAGAUCAAUCCUGAUGGUGGUGCAAAUGCUUGAUAGCGUUACAAAG
rnacentral:lncRNA from 1 species